rnacentral:lncRNA from 1 species
UUAGGGGUAAAUAUGCAGCAAAUUCAAAGUAAAAUAUCAUAAAUUGCAUACCUAAUCAGCAAUCGGAUGAAAUUAGGGCUAAAUCGGAACAAUUGAUGUGUGGAUAGUAGUUAGUUAGAGUUUGAUCGGAUGAGUAGAUCCGGUUGUUUGCAUACUUUUUAUUGAGAUCGCCGCGAUAUCCGGCGUGAUCGCCGCCGUAGUCUCCGGUGAGGUGUGUUGGAUGAAGUGAAAGGGUUGAAGGUAAAAUAUGAUCCGCACAGUGUAGUGAGAUGAUAUUGUUGUGAAAUGUAUGUAUGGCCUACCAGACCACUUAUGUAAAUCAUUACAUAUAUGUCGCGUGCUUAUGUGUGUGAUUAAAGUUGUUAACGUAUUAUUUGGGUCAUAGAGAUGUUGAUAAACCGUUGAUUGAACCUUGACAGAACGGAAGAAAGUUGGCUGAUUUGGCCGGUCUGUUAACGGUUUAAGGUUUGGUUUACGGUUUAAAAUUUGAAACCGGUCAUGGAACAAACUAGACCAACUAGUUAAUAAUUAUGAGCAAUUCAUACUUUUUUUUUUAAUUUGAUAUAAAAGUAUGCUUUUUAGAAAAUAAAAUAUGUUGGUCUAAAAGUGUAAAUCCCACAAAUCGAACUCUAAAACUGUUAAACCAUUAAAAUCAAGGGAGUUUUAUAUAUUUCACCCUCCUAAGCUGUCUUAUUAUGUAUU